rnacentral:rRNA from 1 species
UCAAGUUAUUAAGGGUGCAGGGCGGAUGCCUUGGCACUAGGAGCCGAUGAAGGACGUGAUAAGCUGCGAUAAGCUUCGGGGAGUUGCACGUAAACUUUGAUCCGAAGAUUUCCGAAUGAGGAAACUCACUUAGAGUAAUGUCUAAGUAUCAUUAAGUGAAUACAUAGCUUGAUGAGGGGAACUCAGGGAACUGAAACAUCUAAGUACCUGAAGGAAGAGAAAGAAAUUCGAUUCCGUAAGUAGCGGCGAGCGAACGCGGAUUAGCCCAAACCAAUAAAGUUUUCUUUAUUGGGGUUGCGGACAUAUCAUAACGAAGAGGUAUCGUAAUUGAAGAGGUUUGGAAAGACCCACCACAGAAGGUAAUAGUCCUGUAUGUUAAACGAGAAGACUUUAGAUAUGAUCCAGAGUACCACGGGACACGUGAAACCCUGUGGGAAGCAGGAGGGACCACCCUCCAAGGCUAAAUACUACCUAGUGACCGAUAGCGUAUAGUACCGUGAGGGAAAGGUGAAAAGAACCCCGGGAGGGGAGUGAAAUAGAACCUGAAACCCUGCACUUACAAGCUGUGGAAGCACAUUUCUUGUGUGACCGCGUACUUUUUGUAGAACGGGCCAACGAGUUACGUUAAGUAGCAAGGUUAAGCACUUAAGGUGCGGAGCCGUAGCGAAAGCGAGUUUUAACUGAGCGUUCAGUUACUUGACGUAGACCCGAAACCGGGCGACCUACCCAUGAGCAGGAUGAAGCGAAAGUAAAAUUUCGUGGAGGUCCGAACCCACGAGCGUUGAAAAGCUCGGGGAUGACUUGUGGGUAGCGGUGAAAUUCCAAUCGAGCCCGGAGAUAGCUGGUUCUCCCCGAAAUAGCUUUAGGGCUAGCCUCAAGGUGAGAGAUACGGAGGUAGAGCACUGAAUGUCCUAGGGGGUAUUGCACCUACCGAAGACUAUCAAACUCCGAAUGCCGUCAUCUUAUACUUGGGAGUCAGACUGUGGGUGAUAAGAUUCAUAGUCGAAAGGGCAACAGCCCAGAUCGUCAGCUAAGGUCCCUAAAUGUAAGUUAAGUGGUAAAGGAUGUGGGAUUGCACAGACAACCAGGAUGUUGGCUUAGAAGCAGCCACUCAUUCAAAGAGUGCGUAAUAGCUCACUGGUCGAGUGAUCCUGCGCCGAAGAUUUCCGGGGCUAAAACUUACUACCGAAGCUACGGCAUCAGUAAUGAUGGGUAGGGGAGCUUCCCAUACGGGUUGAAGCAUGACCGUAAGGACAUGUGGACAGUAUGGGAGUGAGAAUGUUGGCAUGAGUAGCGAGAUGUGGGUGGGAAUCCCACAGGCCGUAAACCCAAGGUUUCCAGGGGAAGGUUCGUCCGCCCUGGGUUAGUCGGGACCUAAGCUGAGGCCGAAAGGCGUAGGUGAUGGACAACAGGUUGAUAUUCCUGUACUACCGAUAACCGUUUGAGAGAAGGGAUGACACAGUAGGAUAAGCUAAGCACACUGUUGGUUAUGUGUGCCCAAGCAUUGAGGCAGUCAAAGUAGGCAAAUCCGCUUUGAUAAUGCUGGGAUGUGAUGGGGAGCGAAAUUUAGUAGCGAAGUAGCUGAUUUCACACUGUCAAGAAAAGUCUCUAUCGAGGUUAAAGGUACCCGUACCGCAAACCGACACAGGUGGGUGAGGAGAGUAUCCUAAGGCCAGCGAGAGAACUGUUGUUAAGGAACUCGGCAAAAUGACCCCGUAACUUAGGGAUAAGGGGUGCCACCAUCAGGUGGCCGCAGAGAAUAGGCCCAAGCGACUGUUUACCAAAAACAUAGGUUUCUGCUAAGUCGCAAGACGAUGUAUAGGAGCUGACGCCUGCCCGGUGCUGGAAGGUUAAGGGGAUCUGUUAGAGCAAUCGAAGCAGUGAACUUAAGCCCCAGUAAACGGCGGCCGUAACUAUAACGGUCCUAAGGUAGCGAAAUUCCUUGUCGGGUAAGUUCCGACCCGCACGAAAGGCGUAACGAUUUGGGCACUGUCUCAACAACAGACUCGGUGAAAUUGUAAUUCCGGUGAAGAUGCCGGAUACCUGCGACAGGACGGAAAGACCCCAUGGAGCUUUACUGUAGCUUGACAUUGGGUCUUGGUACUACAUGUACAGGAUAGGUGGGAGGCUUUGAAACCAGGACGCCAGUUUUGGCGGAGCCAUCCUUGGGAUACCACCCUUGUAGUACUGGGACUCUAACCAUAGGCCAUGAAUCUGGUCUUGGGACACUGUCAGGUGGGCAGUUUGACUGGGGCGGUCGCCUCCCAAAAGGUAACGGAGGCGCUCAAAGGUUCUCUCAGUACGGUCGGAAAUCGUACGUAGAGUGUAAAGGCAAAAGAGAGCUUGAUUGCAAGACAUACAGGUCGAGCAAGGAUGAAAAUCGGACUUAGUGAUCCGGUGGUUCUGCGUGGAAGGGCCAUCGCUCAACGGAUAAAAGCUACCCUGGGGAUAACAGGCUUAUCUCCCCCAAGAGUCCACAUCGACGGGGAGGUUUGGCACCUCGAUGUCGGCUCAUCACAUCCUGGGGCUGUAGUAGGUCCCAAGGGUUGGGCUGUUCGCCCAUUAAAGUGGUACGCGAGCUGGGUUCAGAACGUCGUGAGACAGUUCGGUCCCUAUCCGUCGCAGGCGUAGGAAAUUUGAGAAGACCUGUCCUUAGUACGAGAGGACCGGGAUGGACGUACCUCUGGUGUACCAGUUGUUCUGCCAAGGGCAUGGCUGGGUAGCUAUGUACGGAAUGGAUAAGCGCUGAAAGCAUCUAAGCGCGAAGCCAACUUCAAGAUAAGAUUUCCCACCGCAAGGGUAAGACCCCAGAAAGACUAUCUGGUUGAUAGGUCGAAGGUGUAAGUGCAGCAAUGUAUUUAGCUUAUCGAUACUAAUAGGUCGAGGACUUGACCAA